UACGUAGGUCCCGAGCGUUGUCCGGAUUUAUUGGGCGUAAAGCGAGCGCAGGUGGUUUAUUAAGUCUGUUGUAAAAGGCAGUGGCUCAACCAUUGUAUGCAUUGGAAACUGGUAGACUUGGGUGCAGGAGAGGAGAGUGGAAUUCCAUGUGUAGCGGUGAAAUGCGUAGAUAUAUGGAGGAACACCGGUGGCGAAAGCGGCUCUCUGGCCUGUAACUGACACUGAGGCUCGAAAGCGUGGGGAGCAAACAGG
rnacentral:rRNA from 1 species